rnacentral:rRNA from 1 species
AGCAGUAGCCGCGGGAAUACGUAGGUCCCGAGCGUUGUCCGGAUUUAUUGGGCGUAAAGCGAGCGCAGGCGGUUAGAUAAGUCUGAAGUUAAAGGCUGUGGCUUAACCAUAGUACGCUUUGGAAACUGUUUAACUUGAGUGCAAGAGGGGAGAGUGGAAUUCCAUGUGUAGUGGUGAAAUGCGUAGAUAUAUGGAGGAACACCGGUGGCGAAAGCGGCUCUCUGGCUUGUAACUGACGCUGAGGCUCGAAAGCGUGGGGAGCAAACAGGAUUAGAUACCCGCGUAGUCCCUGUCUCUUAUACA